UGUGCCCUUCCGAUCUAAAAUUUUGGUUGGGGUGACCUCGGAGAAAAAAUAAUCCUCUGAAAGACCUAGACCUGGACUUACAAAUCAAAGUUAAGCUACGUCACCUUUGAUCCAGAAUUUCUGAUCAAUGGACCAAGUUACCCUAGGGAUAA